UACGUAGGCAGCGAGCGUUGUUCGGAGUUACUGGGCGUAAAGGGUGUGUAGGCGGUUGUUUAAGUUUGGUGUGAAAUCUCCCGGCUCAACUGGGAGGGUGCGCCGAAUACUGAAUGACUUGGAGUGCGGGAGAGGUGAGUGGAAUUCCUGGUGUAGCGGUGAAAUGCGUAGAUAUCAGGAAGAACACCAAUGGCGAAGGCAGCUCUCUGGGACGGUACUGACGCUGAGACGCGAAAGUGCGGGGAUCAAACAGG
rnacentral:rRNA from 1 species